rnacentral:lncRNA from 1 species
UUUAAAAAACCUUGUAAAUAUUUUUAAAUCCCAUAAAAAGUCCUUUUCAAAACCUUGUAAAUCUUUUAAAAGUCAUCCAAACCCUUUCAAAACUUGAGUUAGCCUUUUAAAAUCAUUGUUAAUCAUUUUAUAACAUUUAUAAACACUUGUAAAUCCCUUUAAACCCCUUAUAACCGUGAUAUAUCAUUUAAUAAAAACUUUUAUAAACUUCUAAAACCCUUGUAAAUCCUUAAAACCAUUUUAAAGAACUUGUAAUACAUUU